rnacentral:lncRNA from 1 species
UCUCCAGUAUGGAUUAAUGUAAAGCACACAUGCAAUACUCAGGAUUGCCAUAACAUAAGACACAACGAAAGUCACAUAAAAGGAAAUCAUAUCAAUCAAACCAUUUUCAGUCGAUGCUUUUGGCAAUAAAGAUGCUGAUGGUCCUGAUGUUGAGCAGUCCUUCAAUGGUUUACCGCAUAAAAGAGGAUUUCCCACAUAUCUGCUUUCGUCAAAUGUUGCAAAUUGUGCAGUCCAUGCAGGUGUACUUCCAGAUAAAUUAUUAUAUGCCACACUGAAAUAAGACAACCUAUAUAACCCCACAAGUUGUGGAGGGAUUUUCCCGCUCAAGUUGUUGUGAGAAAGAUCGAGACUCUCAAUUUGCUUCAGAUUGGAAAACGCCAGUGGGAUUGGUCCUAUCAAAUUGUUGUGAGACAAAUUCAAAGCAUAAAUAUUUCUCAAGUUUUUCAAUUCGCUGGGAAUCUCGCCUGUCAACUUGUUGCAAGAGAGAUCAAUUCCAGAUAAGCAUCUGAGAACAAUUCCCUUAUAAGAGUAAGACAUGCUUUUCACUGUGAACUCUAUCGGUUCAUCAUCAACGGAGGAAUAAUCACUGGGAGGUCGUAGAAUAAAAUUACGGAGAGAACGAACAUAUUCUUGGGAUAUUUCAUUCAGUGCUGUAAUCUUCAGGCAAUGUGGAAUUGUACCUGAAAGAUUGUUAUUGGAAAGAUCAAUCAGGCUUAACUGGCCCAAAUUGCAUAACUGAAUUGGAACCCCACCAUCAAAAUGGUUGUUAUUUAGCAAAACNNNNNNNNNNNNNNNNNNNNNNNNNNNNNNNNNNNNNNNNNNNNNNNNNNNNNNNNNNNNNNNNNNNNNNNNNNNNNNNNNNNNNNNNNNNNNNNNNNNNNNNNNNNNNNNNNNNNNNNNNNNNNNNNNNNNNNNNNNNNNNNNNNNNNNNNNNNNNNNNNNNNNNNNNNNNNNNNNNNNNNNNNNNNNNNNNNNNNNNNNNNNNNNNNNNNNNNNNNNNNNNNNNNNNNNNNNNNNNNNNNNNNNNNNNNNNNNNNNNNNNNNNNNNNNNNNNNNNNNNNNNNNNNNNNNNNNNNNNNNNNNNNNNNNNNNNNNNNNNNNNNNNNNNNNNNNNNNNNNNNNNNNNNNNNNNNNNNNNNNNNNNNNNNNNNNNNNNNNNNNNNNNNNNNNNNNNNNNNNNNNNNNNNNNNNNNNNNNNNNNNNNNNNNNNNNNNNNNNNNNNNNNNNNNNNNNNNNNNNNNNNNNNNNNNNNNNNNNNNNNNNNNNNNNNNNNNNNNNNNUCAUUGAGACAAGUUGACAUUAAUAAUGCAUUCCUUAAUGGUGAACUUACUGAAGAGCUAUAUAUGGAGCAACCCCCUGGUUUUGAAGUCUUUGAUGCCUCUGGUCAGAAGCUUGUCUGUAAGCUGAAUAAAGUAAUCUAUGGCUUACGACAAGGACCUCGCACAUGGUUUCAAACACUCAAGCAGUAUCUGGUUGAGCAGCUUGAUUUUUGAGCUUCCAAGGCCGAUUAUUCACUGUUUAUUAGAGGCUCUGCAGAGAAGUUUAUGUUGCUCAUGGUUUAUGUUGAUGACAUUGUUCUCACAGGCAACUCUGAGCACGAUAUGGCAGAUGUGAUUCUUCAUCUGCAUAAUAAAUUUGCUCUCAAAGAUAUGGGAGGACUUAAUUUUUUCUUGGGUAUUGAUGUGCAGCACACUUCGCAAGGAAUACUACUUAGUCAACAGAAGUAUGUUGCUGGACUACUUCAAAAAGCUGGGAUGGUCGGGGCAACUCCCACACCUACUCCCAUGGUUAGCGCCCCAAAGUUAAUGGUCUCGGAUGACAGUUCUCAGUUUGCAUAUGCGCAUUUGUAUAGAAGUGUUGUAGGAAUGCUGUAAUUUUUAUGUGUCACACGGCCUGAUCUAGCGUUCAGUGUUAAUAAGCUAAGUCAGUUCAUGAACUCGCCAAAUGAAACUCAUUGGAGGGCUGUCAAACGUGUCUUGAGGUAUCUAGUCGGCACAAUGGAGUAUGGACUGUGGCUUACACCAGGUCAGUUAGAGCUGGUAUGUUAUUCUGAUGCAGACUGGGCAUCAUCUGUUGAAGACUGUCGAUCAACUUCAGGGUAUGUGGUGUUUCUAGGUCCUAAUCCAAUUGUCUGGAGUUCGAAGAAGCAAUCAGUUGUAUCAAGGUCGUCAGCUGAAGCAGAAUACCGCAACCUAGCAAAUUGUGUGUCUGAACUUCUGUGGCUACAACAACUACUGUCUGAAGUAGGCGUCUCAUUAUCCAAGUUGCCAGUGGUUUUGUGUGAUAACUCGUCUGCAGUAGCUGUGGCUGAAAAUCCCACACAGCAUGCCAGGAUGAAGCAUGUUGAAAUAGAUCAUCACUUUGUUAGGGAAAAAAUCCUUGCAGUGCUUUUACAAGUCAAUUUCAUACCAUCUGAUCAACAGAUUGCUGAUGUUCUAACUAAACCAAUUACCCCUAAGCUGUUUUCUUCUUUUCAACGCUCUCUUGGAGUCUUGUCUUUCAAUGAACUCAAAACUCAGAAAUCAACUAGUUAGGGGAAUGUUAAGAGUAAUACUGUUGUUAGUUUGUAACUGCUUGUAACUGCAAAAGUAAUUAGUUUGUUAAGCUGAUAAUAGUUAAUCAGCAGUUAUUUAGUUACGUCAGUUUUUGCCUUCAUCUGUGUAUAAAAGCAUGCAAACGUCUGCAUGUUUAAGAUAUGGAAAAUAUUAUUCUUCUCAGCUUCUUGUUUCUUUGCUCUUGUUAUAGUUUAACACAGAGCACACAACGAAAGUCCAACAAGGAGUGACUGCAACAGGUUGCUUACUCUUUGCUCAUUAACUCUAAUUGGCAAAUAAGCAUCAAUGUCUUUCUCGGGAUCAAAAUUUUCUUUUGCAUCAUCGUCACCAUCACCACCUCUCAUUACUGCCUCUUUCAAGUUCUUCAACUCAUUAUCAACUGCAGGCUGCAAUAACAUUCAUAUUAUAAUGUUGCAAUCAAACAAAUAUGCCUGAAUGCAUGCGUAUAUAGGGAAUAGUACGAUAAGCCACUAGUACUUACUGUAGGAGAUUGGUCCAUUUUUAUGAACAAUGCUUGCAUCCUUCCAUAGAUCUCUGAGUUGCUUGCAUGUUGCAACAUGCCCUCCUUGGCACUUUUUACCAUUUUUUUCUGAAUUAACUGUAAUUGAUAUCAGUUAUAUAAUCUAAGAAUACACACUGAUGAAAAUCAUAUAAGAAUUAAGAGAGUAGUAUCUAGAAGUACUACUCGAUACACCCUACCUGCUUCUUGAGAACUGAAAGGCUCUUAGUGUGCAUAUGAGAUUGUGGAAGGACCCCAUUUGAAGGAGGGAGUCCCAGCAACCCACAAAUUAAAGUCUGAAACCAUGAUUGAAAGGAAGUAUUUAAGCUGCUUCCAAGCCUGAAAUUAGUAGGAAAUAUAAAUUUGAAAAUAUAACUUAUGAAAAAGGGGAGGAGAACAAAGAGAGAGUAGGUUAGAAGCAUCAGUUGAAAUACCAUUACUCCUAGCAACAACACAUCAUAAUGGUAAGUCGAUGGAUAUUUAAGGUUAAACUCCUUUUGUUGCGCCAACUGUGAAGCAACACUAUGAUCAAAGAAGUAUAGUCCUGCUAUCAUCAAUGCUGGUAUAAUGGCAACAAAGAUGUACUCUAUUGGAACAUUUCCCAUAUCCUAUAAUAAGAGAUUUGAUAAAGUUUAAGGUUAUGGAUUUUACAGACAAUUCAAGCAUAUAUGGAAAUUGAUUUAUGACUUACCUUUAUCACUGUCCAAUGAGGUAAUGAUUCAGGUUCCCAAAGAAGUGGAUAGAAAAGCCUCCUGGGAAUUCCAGAAUUAACUUUUCUUGGUCCUGUGUAAGAUAAUGCAGUCCAACACACGACCAUUAAGGGAACUCCAUAUUCUGCAAUAAAACUUCGAAACCACCCUGAAAGCGAAGUUUUUAGUGAAGCUAUCAAAUAGUUAAUCAGUCAAUCCUAGUUGGUGAGUUGAUAUACCUGUUCCAUACCGCCAUGAUCUUUCCUUGUAUUUAGAGCAGUGAUUGUCAGCCCAAAUGAGAAAAUGACUGCCAGCAAGCCGUUUGUAUAUAGCCAGUGGAACUGAUAUUUCUCCAGAUUAGGAUUUUCACCAUUGGGAAUAUUGAACUCACUCACCACUCCCUAUGAUCCAACAUUAUCAUUAUAUAAUAAGGGUCAAUUUCAAACCAAGGGUUCUGUCAUCACAAACCUCACACUUUACUUUAUGCGUAAGUCAUUGAAUACCUUAAUAGCCUCUUGAAUGAAAAGAACAGUUAUCAACAUGCCAAAAAGCUCUCCAGCAAUUCAUCUUUGAUUGCACCACAUUUGAAGCAGCUCGACCUGCUAGCGAAGUUGUGAGCACCGCAGUUGCCCACAGUGCAAUACCAGUCACCAGGCCUAACAUCGGGUCCAGUAAGCCAAAAAGAUGAGCCACCCCCGCCACCAAAGCUUCCAUAGUCGCCGCCUCUGUCACCACCACCAGGUCUUGGUUCUCCACAGCGCUGGCAUGAGUCCAUCCUUUGGAAGUUGAGGUGUUGGCAUGACCUGCAAUUCCAGUCUCUUGGCCUGUUCAUAUUUUCUCCCCUACUACACAAUAUAGUUAAACAAAACUUAGAAGAGAGGUAUAUAUUAUAUAUAUACAGUCAUGCAUGCAUCAACUUCAUAAUGAAGCAUAGGACAUGGUACUCAAAGCUUAAAAAUUAAAAAGUGCAGAGAGUUGCAGACCUUGAGAAAGCAGAUAUAUAAGGGGUGAGUAAGCAAAGAUAGGAACAGUGAAGAAGAAAGAAUGUGUUGUAAGCAAAGUUGUGGGUUUAUUUUAAUAAGGGGGUUUGGGUAUUUAUAUAAGAGAUUUGUUAACAUUAUGAUUAAUGGCAGACAAUUUUAAUAGAAAACAAUCCAAGUGGUGCAAGUUUAGCACCCUAAAGUUGACUUUGAAAAAGUGGCAUGGGAUAAUUUUUUGGUCCUUGAGAUAAUAGGCUAUUUAUUGUUUGGUCCUUAAACCUCAACUAUAAAUAGGCCUUCUCAUUUCUCAUUUUAAUUCAUCCCAACCAAUCUUUCUCUCUUAGUUUUCUCUCUUCUCCCAUUUGAGAAUUCUUAAGGAAUUCUAUUUGUUUGUAAUAUUUUGGAGAUAGUAAAGUUAUCAUCUGGUGUUAGUGCCCGAGGACGUAGGUAUAAUUUACCGAACCUCGUUAAAACUCUUGUGUUCUUUCUUGUCCUAUUUUUCUUUCAAUAUUUGAGGGUAUAAUAGUAGUAUUUAAUUGUGCUAUUAAAUUACGUUAGAAGGAAUAUUCUGACUAAGGAAAGACUUGGUAUUUAAGAUAUCCAUGUGAUCCACCUCUCUUCCCUGGGAAUUGAACUUUGUGUGAUUUUUUAGUACAAUAAUUUACACGCUUCUGACCCUAUUGGAACAACAAGUGGUAUCAAGAGCCGAGGGUUAAUCGUAGUAUGCUCUGUGGUUGCAGUUUAAACUGAUCUUCCACAUCAAAAAAGAUUUCCUUAGGUAUAUUGAAAGAUUAUGGAGAAAACGAUCGGUGUAGGAGCUUCAACAUCGUCUAUGUGGACAAGAUCAAUAAUUGCAAAUGCAAGACUGGCCGUGGAGAUCUUUGAUGGCACGGGCCAUUUUGGUAUGUGGCAAAGUGAGGUUCUAGAUGCCCUUUUUCAGCAGGGUCUAGACAUUGCCAUUGAUGAAGAGAAACCAGAUGAUGUACAGGAGAAAGAUUGGAAGGCGAUCAAUCGGUUGGCAUGUGGCACAAUUCGAUCAUGCCUUUCUCGAGAGCAGAGGUAUGCUUUUUCAAAGGAGACUUCUGCAAAUAAGUUGUGGGUGACACUUGAAGAAAAUUUUUUGAAGAAAAACAGUCAAAAUAAGCUCCACUUGAAGAAAAGACUGUUUCGCUUCACAUACGUCCCAAGUACCACAAUGAAUGAUCACAUCACCAAAUUUAAUCAGUUAGUCACUGAUUUGCUGAAUAUGGAUGAGACAUUCAAAGAUGAAGAUUUGGUUUUGAUGCUGUUGGGGUCACUUCCUGAGGAGUUUGAGUUCCUAGAAACUACUCUACUUCAUGGCAGGAGUGAUAUAUCUCUGAGCGAAGUCUAUGCGGCCUUAUACAGUUAUGAACAGAGAAAGAAGGACAAACAGAAAAACUCAAUCAAAGAUACAGAAGCUUUAGUAGUCCGAGGUCGUUCAUACACUCGGAAGAAAACUCAAAAGGGGAGAUCAAAGUCAAAGUCCAGACUCGGGAAAGAUGAAUGUGCUUUUUGUCAUGAGAAAGGCCACUGGAAGAAAAAUUGUCCAAAGCUGAAGAAUAAGGGAAAAGCUGCUGUAGAUGCUUGUGUUGCUAAGCAUGAUACUAGUGACUCUGAACUAUCACUGGUUGCAUCAUCAUCGUCGUUCCAUUCAGAUGAGUGGAUAUUGGAUUCGGGUUGUACCUAUCAUAUGUCCCCUAACCGGGAGUGGUUCUCUGAUUUAGUAGAACUAAAUGGAGGAGUUGUUUAUAUGGGCAAUGACAAUGCCUGUAAAACUGUUGGGAUAGGUUCAAUCCAAUUAAAGAAUAAAGAUAGAUCAACCAGAGUUUUGACUGAUGUUCGGUACGUGCCCAGUUUGAAGAAAAAUCUCAUCUCAUUGGGAGCCUUGGAAUCCAAUGGUUCAGUUGUUACUAUGAGAGAUGGGGUUUUGAAAGUGACAUCUGGCGCACUUGUGAUAUUGAAGGGCAUCAGGAAAAAUAACUUGUAUUACUACCAAGGUAGUACAGUUAUUGGAGCAGUCGCUGCAACUUCCGGCAACAAAGAAUUGGACUCAAUACAGUUGUGGCAUAUGAAGUUGGGAUAUGCCAGCGAAAAUUUCUUGCAAAUUCUGGCAAAGCAAGGAUUGUUGAAAGGUGCAAAGGCUUGCAAAUUAAAAUUUUGCGAGCAUUGUGUUCUGGGAAAGCAAAAAAGAGUGAAAUUCGGUACUGCUAUCCAUAAUACAAAAGGUAUUUUGGAAUAUGUUCACUCAGAUGUGUGGGGGCCUUCCAAGACACCUUCAUUGGGAGGAAAACACUACUUUGUUACUUUUGUUGAUGACUUUUCCAGAAGAGUUUGGGUGUAUACCAUGAGAACUAAGAAUGAAGUGCUUAGAGUUUUUCUUAAAUGGAAAACUAUGAUCGAAAACCAGACUGGCAAGAAAAUCAAGCGGCUUAGGACGGACAAUGGAGGGGAAUAUAAAAGUGAUCCAUUCUUCGAUGUGUGCCAAGAGUAUGGUAUUGUUCGACACUUCACAGUUAGGGAUACACCACAGCAGAAUAGAUUGGCAGAGCGUAUGAAUCGAACAUUGCUGGAGAAAGUUCGAUGUAUGUUGUCCAAUGCUGGGUUGGGCAAGCAAUUUUGGGCUGAGGCUGUGACAUACGCUGGCCAUCUUGUUAAUCGUUUGCCAUCAUCUGCAUUAGAAAGAAAAACUCCUAUGGAGGUAUGGUCUGGAAAACCGGCUACAGAUUAUGAUUCCUUACAUGUGUUUGGAACCACUGCAUAUUACCAUGUGAAGGAGUCAAAGUUAGAUCCGAGGGCAAAGAAAGCUCUCUUUAUGGGAAUCACUUCUGGAGUGAAGGGAUUUCGUCUUUGGUGCUUAAGCACAAAGAAAAUGAUCUGUAGCAGAGAUGUUACCUUUGAUGAAUCUGCCACAUUGAAAAAAGUAGCAGAUAAAGAUAUUCAGACGAGCAAUACUCCACAGCAGGUGGAGUGUACUCCAAAACAGGUGGAGUUUGAGCAGAUGGGGAUUUGCCCAGUUAAUAAGUCUAAUUCUCCAGCCACAAUGGAGGAAUUAGAGGUUGAAGAGGUUCUGACCCAAGAACUACUAAGUACACCAGAACCAGUUGCAGUUGCAAGGCCACGGAGAGAAAUUCGUAAACCUGCUCGAUUUACUAAUAUGGUGGCCUACGCCCUUCCCGUUGUUGAUGAUAGUCCUAUCACUUAUCAAGAAGCAAUGCAAAGCUUAGAAAGUGAUAAAUGGAAAAGCGCCAUGGAUGAAGAAAUGCAGUCUCUCCGGAAGAACAAUACUUGGGAGUUGGCGCAAUUACCGAAAGGUAAAAGGGCAAUCAAAUGCAAGUGGGUAUUCGAAAAGAAAGAUGGAUCUCCUAGCAAGAAGGAUAUUCGCUACAAGGCAAGAUUAGUAGCUAAAGGCUACGCUCAGAAGGAGGGAAUUGACUACAAUGAUGUAUUUUCCCCUGUUGUGAAGCAUUCCUCCAUUAGAAUUUUGUUGGCCUUGGUAGCACAGUUGAAUUUGGAGCUAGCUUAACUUGAUGUUAAGACGGCUUUCUUGCAUGGUGAGUUAGAAGAGGAGAUCUAUAUGACUCAGCUAGAAGGAUACACAGAUGCUGGUGGUAGAAAUUGGGUUUGUAAGCUGAACAAAUCGCUAUAUGGAUUGAAGCAAUCCCCGAGGCAGUGGUACAAGCGAUUUGAUAGCUUUAUGAGAAGGCAGAAGUACACAAGAAGCAAAUAUGACAAUUGUGUGUAUUUGCAGAAGCUGCAUGACGGAUCUUUCAUUUAUCUACUCUUGUAUGUUGAUGAUAUGUUAAUCGCUUCGAAGAGCCAAAAAGAGAUAGAUAAGCUGAAGGCUCAGUUGACUCAAGAGUUCGAGAUGAAAGAUCUAGGUGAGGCCAAGAAGAUUCUCGGCAUGGAGAUAAGUAGAGAUAGACAGAGAGGCAAGCUUUGUUUGAAUCAGAAGCAAUAUCUGAAAAAUGUAUUACAAUGUUUUGGUGUAAAUGAAAACACAAAACAUGUAAGUACCCCACUUGCUUCUCAUUUGAAACUUAGUGCUCAAUUAUCUCCGAAAACUGAAGAAGAAAGAGAAUAUAUGGCAAAAGUCCCAUAUGCUAAUGCAGUUGGGAGUUUGAUGUAUGCGAUGGUGUGUACGAGGCCUGACAUUUCACAAGCUAUUGGAGUUGUGAGCAGGUAUAUGCAUGAUCCUGGAAAAGGACAUUGGCAAGCUGUGAAAUGGAUUCUACGGUAUCUUCGAAAAACCGUAGAUGUUGGUUUAAUUUUUUGAACAGGAUGAAGCACUUGGUCAGUUUGUAGUUGGAUAUGUUGAUUCCGACUUUACUGGUGAUUUAGAUAAACGUCGUUCAACUACGGGGUAUCUGUUUACUCUUGCGAAAGCCCCAGUGAGUUGGAAGUCUACCUUACAGUCUACAGUAGCUGUGUCUACUACAGAGGCAGAAUAUAUGGCAGUUACAGAAGCUGUUAAGGAGGCUAUUUGGCUUAAUGGAUUGUUGAAAGACUUAGGAGUUGUUCAAAGUCAAAUAAGUUUAUAUUGUGACAGUCAGAGCACUAUUUAUUUAGCGAAAAAUCAAGUCUAUCAUUCAAGAACCAAACAUAUCGACGUAAGAUAUCACUUUGUGCGGGAAGUCUUUGAAAAAGGAAAAAUUCUACUUCAAAAGAUUCCAACAGCAGAUAAUCCCGCAGAUAUGAUGACCAAGGUGGUAACAACAAUCAAGUUUAAUCAUUGUUUGAACUUGAUUAACAUCCUGAGAAUUUGAGCACCUUCAGGUGUAUGGCGCUCGAGAGUGCAUUUGGAGGCACUACAAAAGAUAGCUUUAUCAAAUUUGGGGAGUUGAAGGAAGUGUGUGAAGAUGUGAUUAUCCUAAUCAAAUCUUCAAGGUGGAGAUUGUUAACAUUAUGAUUAAUGGCAGACAAUUUUAAUGGAAAACAAUCCAAGUGGUGCAAGUUUAGCACCCUAAAGUUGACUUUGAAAAAGUGGCAUGGGAUAAUUUUUUGGUCCUUGAGAUAAUGGGCUAUUUAUUGUUUGGUCCUUAAACCUCAACUAUAAAUAGGCCUUCUCAUUUCUCAUUUCAAUUCAUCCCAACCAAUCUUUCUCUCUUAGUUUUCUCUCUUCUCCCAUUUGAGAAUUCUUAAGGAAUUCUAUUUGUUUGUAAUAUUUUGGAGAUAGUAAAGUUAUCAUCUGGUGUUAGUGCCCGAGGACGUAGGUAUAAUUUACCGAACCUCGUUAAAACUCUUGUGUUCUUUCUUGUCCUAUUUUUCUUUCAAUAUUUGAGGGUAUAAUAGUAGUAUUUAAUUGUGCUAUUAAAUUACGUUAGAAGGAAUAUUCUGACUAAGGAAAGACUUGGUAUUUAAGAGAUCCAUGUGAUCCACCUCUCUUCCCUGGGAAUUGAACUUUGUGUGAUUUUUUAGUACAAUAAUUUACACGCUUCCGACCCUAUUGGAACAACAAGAUUAGACCUUGAGAAUGGGGAGGGAUUGAAGAAGUAGGUUGGGCAGUGGAGGGCUUAGGGUUUUCUUUUUCAUAUUCUUCAAUGUCACUUUAAUUCCUUGAACAAUGGAAUCCCAAUAAACUAAAAUUGGAAAAAGAGAUAAAGGAAAUUGGAAAUUAGAUUCCAAAGGGGAGGAGAAAAAAGAUUUAAAAAGCUCCAAUUUCAACUCCUUUUUAGGGCUUCUAGUUGCAUGUAAAUGGGUGGCAAGUGCAUGAGCACAUGCAAAUGAUUUCAUUAUAUUAUUCACUUCCUAAUAUACCCUUCUUUUGUGAUGGAAAAUAAAAAUAAAAAUACAGGAAGAGAGAGUCAAAUUAAUUCCCACAAUUUUAUUGGGGAAUGAGUAAAGAAAAGCUGUUAAAAGCACAAAGAAUGACUUUGGGAAAUGCUUCCAUGCAUGAACAACCAAUUUAUGCUCUCAAACCAAAUCAUAUUAAACAUAAAUUUUAUUUAUCUACUAAUUAAUCUAACUUGAUAUUUUAGACUUCAAUAAAUAUGAUAAUAAUUAUUAAAUAUAAUAUUAUGCAUCUGAUUAAUGUAGUUUGUAUGGUAUUACAUUUAACUCUAAAAAAAAAUCCUCAAUAUUGAGUCAUUUAUUUAAAGAUAUUCACCAUAAGCCCAUAUCGUAGACUUGAGUUACAAGAAUAACGUGCUAGUAAUGCGUGCAUGAAAAGUCAUAUUUUACUUCUACUAAUGGUGCAUAAGUUAUACCAAAAAUGAACUUUUAAAAGAAAAAUAUGUAUUGUACUUAUAUAUUUAAAAUUUUACUUGCUUAAUCGAAUGAAUCAUCAAUAAUAUUGACAAAAAUUGAAAUGCUAGGAAUUUAACAUGUAUUGUUCUUUUGCCUGUAUUUAAAUUUAAAACAUUCACUAUUUUUGGGCAUCCAUAUUAUGUUAAUGAAUCUGAUAAUUAAUUAAUGAGGAUUGGUAUGAAAUUGGAAAUGUGGAAAUAUGGGUUGCAUGCACGUGAGCAGUUUUUGAGAUGGGUACGUAUGACGUCAGAUUAUAAUGAUAAAAGUUAGCUUUAUUUUUUCUUUUAUUACUUUUUAGUCCUCCAACAUAUUUUUUAUUAUGCUUUGAGUUCAAAGUUAGAAAUUUUCCAAAUGCCUUUCUUCACACCACUUUACUCAUUUACCACUUCAAGAAAACCAAAAUACAAGUAGAGAGUUGAUACUUAAAUACGCUUCAUUCAAUUAAUGUCUAUAGCUAUAGGCGUAUUUAUUUAUUAUUUUGAUUUUUUGUUGCAUCUAAGACAUUUAAUUUAAGAAAAAAAUGGAUUAAUUAACAUUUUUAAUUUAUUUGUACCACUCAAACUAGCAUUUAGUUAACUUUUUAUUUAUUCAAAUGUUACUGACAUGGAUAUGCAUAAAAAAUAUUUGUAAUUAAUUUAACUAAAAAUAGAUUUUUCACACAUCUACUAGGGAAAUAUAAAAUGAACAUCUCUUUUAAUCUUUUAGAGGAUUAAAUUCCAUGGACACACCCAAACACCUAAACCAUGAUAACGUCUUUUUUUUUUUUUCCUCUUGAUCAACAAUGGUGAUCCGCAUGUUACAUCAACAAUUGCACAAUUAUAAUUUGUAUUGGCUUUAGCUAACACAGUCCACCCUCUAACUAUUAGAAUCGGUUUUUGAGGAGAAAAUUUAAUAGGUAACGGCACAAUUAGUUGAAUAUAAUGGGAUAAGAUAAAAGAAUGUAGUAAUUAUUCGAUAUAAAUGAAAUAUUGAAAUAAUAAAUUUUAUGUAGUAAUUAACCAAUGAUACUUCAAGAAGCACAAAGUAAAGCAUUAAUAGGAUCAGUUCUAUUGAACCCGUACAAUCUCUUUAAUUUGCACCAAGACAAUAUCUUCAAUAAAUAAAGAUGCAUCAAAAUAUCUCUUGUUCCUCUAUUUUCAUAUCACAUACAAAUAUGCACUUCAAGCAAACUUGAGUAUAACAACAAGCACUUUCCUUUUAAGUUUAAAUAUCGUCCAAGUUAACCCUUGCCUCCAAGUUCUUACAGCUCUAUGAAUAGAGUAAAGGCGCAAAAUUAACUAUCAUACAUUUCUUGAAAAAUUGCAUUCAAAGAAAAUGUGACCAUGUUUCUUUGCACCAUACAUGCAGAAAAAACAAUAAAUAUAAAAGUAUUAAUGAUCGUCGGUUGGUUGAGAAUUUGUUAAUGGGUUUUGUUUAUAUUUGAGAAAGAAGGCGCGACUCAAAUGCUUUUUAGUUAUGAAAUGGUUUGGUUAUGCUUUUGCUAAUUUCGUCCGACUUAAUCUUUUCCUGUUUCAUAAUUAAGUUGUUUAAUAUAGUGAGUGCUACUUCUGAUCAUAACUCUGUUGUUGCUAGUGAAUUGAUGCCUACUCGUCGUGCUCGUAGACUUCGUUUUGAAAACUCUUGGUUAUCUAAAGAUGAUUUUGGAGAAGAUAUUAACUCGAGUUGGUGGGAGUGUCCUUCAAAUGAUGUUCUGAUCAAAUUACGGUUGUGUGGUGAACGACUUCUGAUUUGGAACAAUAAUUUAAAGAAUAAUUUUAAAUCCAGUAUCAAUGACUUGAAAGCCCAAAUUGAGGCUACUCGAACCCAUCAUCCUGAUUUGACUGUAUUGGUGAACCUUUGCUUGAUUUAAAUAUGUUUUUGGCAUAAGUUUAUUAGAAACAACGAUCCAAAAUCUUUUGGAUAAAACAUGACGUACCAAAUAGCAAGAUUUUUCAUGCACAUACGUCUAAGUGAAAGAGAGUCAAUCAUAUUCAUUUGCUUCACCAUGAAGAUGGGAGGCGGUGUAAAAAUUUUAAUGAGAUGUGUAAUAUCGUCAAGACGUAUUUUACUAGUCUGUUCUUUCACUCUUCAACUUCUGAUUUUAUCGUUUUCUCUGAUUUUCCCGCUUGCAUUAUUGAUUGUCAAAAUGAGUCUCUUGUUGCGUCUUUUGUAUUGUGGAAUUUCCUGAAGCGAUUAUGAGUAUGCACCUUGAUAAAGCUCCUGGUCUUGAUGGUAUGAACCCAGGUUUUUUUUCAGUGUUGUUAGUCUAUUUUGGGUACUGAUGUGUUUAAUCAAUGUUGUUCACGGUUAGAUGAUGGUGCCUAUCCCAAUUUACUUAACGAAACUUUGAUUGUUUUGAUAUCCAACAAAGACAAACCUGAUAGCUUAAAAGAUUUGCGGCUCAUUGCGCUUUGCAACGUUCUCUAUAAAAUAACGACAAAAGCUCUAGCUAACCGUCUCAAAAAAAAUUCUGCCUUCGAUCAUCUCUUCAUUGCAAUAUACUUUUGUUCCUGGAUGUCUUAUCACUGAUAACAUUCUGAUUGCUUUUGAGCCUAUCCACCAUAUGAAGAAUAAAGGUCAUGGUAAGGUGGGUGAUAUUGCUUUGACUUGAUGUUAGCAAGACUUAUGACCGUAUUGAUUGGAAUUUUAUUCAGUUUAUCACGUGAAAAAUGAGUUUUUCUAUGCAAUGGGUGAAGUGGAUCAUCUUGUGUGUCACUACGCGUAAUUAUUGGAUUUCUUUGAAUGAUCAUGUGGUGAAUCUUAUUUCUCUCCAUAGAGGGUUGCAUUGGGGGAUCUUUUGUUACCUUACCUCUUUAUUUUGCGUACUAAAUGGUUGAGUUAUUUCCUCUAUAAGACCCAAGCUAGGGGUGACCUUCAUGGUACUUCUGUGUGUCAUGAUGGUUCUUCAAUUUUUCAUUUAUUGUUUGUUGAUGUUAGUUUUUUUUUAUGGUAUUUCGAGUCAGGUUAUUAAUUUUCAGUUAAGAACUCGGGGAGGAUCAAAGCAUUAGCGAGACAACCCUCGCUUUCAUUGAGCAGUCGAACAAGAAUUUUAGUCGCGCCUUCCUUGCUCAACAUGACCUCCAUUUUAGCACCUCCACCAUCGAAUUAACAAUUUGCUCCAUCUUUUUCAAAGCGUUUAACCCUUCAUCGAACCUGAAAAGGUGUCCCAGAACAGUAGUUGACAUGGUUUCAAUUAAGUUCUGGAAAUGAUAAACAAAGGCUGUUGCCCACGGUGCAAUACCAGUCACCAGGCCUAACAUUGGGUCUAGUGAAAUUAAGCUUAACAAAGAUAAAAUUUACUUCUGAAAAAAGGAAAUAAAAUCAAAUAAGCAAAUAUAUUAAGGGUUAUUUCUUUUAUCUGUUGCCGACUUUUAUUUUUCUUGCUUCUCUUUGAAUGUCUUAUCCUUUGAAGUGUUGGGAUUUCUAAUAUUUUAAAAAUUUUCUUGUAUGCUAAAGGAUUGAUCCGUAAUGUUAAAGGGUACAAAUAUAUUGAGUUAAAGUAACUUUUAUUGGUUUUUUUUUUCUUUUUUAAAAUAUUCACUUAAAUGACUUAAAAUGAAUAGUAAAAUAAAUAUUGGCUAAAAAAAUAACUACUUAAAUGAACUGAAUUGAAUAGUAAAAUUGAGUUAUAGAAAUUAAAUGACUGGCACCAACUUUUUUUCUAACACAAACAUUGUGUCAGAGAUUAAAAAAAAUAAUUUUUGGGGUUUUAGACACUAGAUGGCUGAUACCCAUGUAUUUUUCCUAAUCCGUAUCAUACUGGUAAUAUAUAUCAGUAUUUUAAAAAAUAGUUAUGGUGUUGACACAUUGAUGAUGGUCACCCACUACAUCUGAUUAAAAAAAAAAUUUGGGUGUUGAUACACUGAUGGUCGAUACCCUCUUUACCUGAUUAAAUUUUUUUUGUCAUUGGAACACUGAUGGUCGGCACCCCUUUAUCUCAUUAAAAAAAAUUUUGGGUGCUAGGACUUUGAUGGCCAAAUAAAGGGGGUCCCGACACCAUUUUUUUUAAUCAGAUAAAGGGAUACUGACCAUCAGUGUCCCAACACCCCAAAAAAAUCUUUUUAACCAGAUAAAGGAGAUGUCGGCCAUCAGUGUCUCAGUACCUCAAUUUUUUUUUUAAUCUAGUGUAGAGGUGCCAACCAUCAAUGUCCCAACACCCCAAAAAAUAAUUUUUUAUCUAAUAAAUUAGUGUCAACCAUCAGUACAACACUCUAAUUUUUUUUAAAUAUUAGUAUAAAUGUAUACUAGUAUGACAUGAAUUGGAAAAAAAAAUACAUAAGUGUCGGCUAUUUAGUGUUCAAAAUCCCAGAAAUUAUUUUUUUAAUCCCUUACACAAUCAUCAACUAAUAAUUGUGUCAGAAAAAAAAGGUGGUGCUGAUCAUCUAUUCCCCAUAACCCAAUUAUGUAACAUAACCCUACUUCUACUAAACUGUUUAGACCUACCUCUUUUAAGUAACUCCAAUUAAGGGUAUGUUAGAAUAGAUUAGAGGCAACAUAUUAUAUUUAAUUUUUUAUUUAGUGAGUAUUUUAUUAUUAUUUAAGAUAAUAAUUUGUGAACCUAAAGCAUAAUUUAUUAUAAUGUAGCUCAUAGAAUGGAUUAAACUAAUAGAGUGAAUUUUCUUUAAAAAUAAAUUAGUAGGGUGAAUAUAUUCCUUGAAAAAAUUACAAAUAAAUUAGAAAUUUAAGUGUUAAAAAUGAAAUUACUUUAUUAAUCCAUUAAUAACACCAGCUUUGAGGCUAAAAUAUAACAAAAAUCGUUAAACCCAAAAUUCAAUAUCCCCUUAGAAAAUGAAAGUUUAAAAGUAAAAAAAGAAGCACAAAAUUUAACGGUUGAAUUGUAGGGGAUUAAUCCUUUAUUAUCCCGCUCAAUGACAUUAGAUUUUUAGGUCAUAUCAAAUAUUAUUAAAUGCUACUUUCUUCAAUCAUCCUCCACCCUUAUGCAAAAAUUUGGAUAGCUGUUCCAUUACUAAUGCAGAAUUAUUCAUAUUUUCCAUCAUCCUUCUUCAAACAUUUGCUAAUAUUCAGCUCUGUAAUUCAUUAGGAAUAAUGUAUGGUAAGAACUAUAUUUUGACUUAGCCUUAAUUAAUUGUUAGACUACCUUUAUUUACCAAAAAGAUUAUAUCCAUAUAUUUCUAGCCAGUUUGUGUAUAUUUUUCAUCUUUUCAGAAUAUAAGAAGAUAAUUUGCAAUUAUAAAGCAAAAAAGAGUAUACUGCCUUUUUAUCGAAGGAUAAUAAAUUACAAGAAUAUCAAAAAAUGAGUAGAGAAAAUGUGAACUUAACAUUGCCUUACAUAUUUCCACAGUGGAGCCUUUUAGGCAGAAUAUGGUCUUCCAAAAAAUAGUAGCAGCAAUUGCUUAUUGACCCAACAUAAUAGAACCAUGCUUGUCUCCAGUAUGGAUUAAUGUAAAGCACACAUGCAAUACUCAGGAUUGCCAUAACAUAAGACACAACGAAAGUCACAUAAAAGGAAAUCAUAUCAAUCAAACCAUUUUCAGUCGAUGCUUUUGGCAAUAAAGAUGCUGAUGGUCCUGAUGUUGAGCAGUCCUUCAAUGGAUCACCACAUAGAAGAGGAUUUCCCACAUAGCUGCUUUCGUCAAAUGUUGCAAAUUGUGCAGUCCAUGCAGGUGUACUUCCAGAUAAAUUAUUGUAUGCCACACUGAAAUAAGACAACCUAUAUAACCCCACAAGUUGUGGAGGGAUUUUCCCGCUCAAGUUGUUGUGAGAAAGAUCGAGACUCUCAAUUUGCUUCAGAUUGGAAAACGCCGGUGGGAUU